ensembl:lncRNA
GUAACUGCAGCCUGGAGCAAUGGGUGUGCCGAAAGGUAGGGGCGUGCCAAAAGGUAGGGGCGUGCCAAAAGGUUUCUCAUUGGUCAAAGGAGUUUUACUGUGUUGGCCAAUCAGCGGUAAAUAUACAUGUACGUAAUUUCCUUUAGACAAGAGAAGGUGGCGGCGAUAAGACAUGGUGUAAUUAUUCAUCACACCUUUAUCUAUGCUUUAUAUACCACAAAUAUGUAUAUUAAGAUAGCUUGUUACAAUACGAUCAUAAUUUUCCCUUUGCGUUAUAUCUUGCAGCUUUAGUAAUUGGUUUAUUGUUGUUGACAGACAUACUGUAUGUACAGUGAGACAAAACGAUGACCGCAUCUGCAUCGAAGCUCUCAGAGUUGAUAGUUUGUAUCGGCGUCCUUUUUGUGCAAUACAGUACAGAAUACAUCCUGUAUCCAACUAAUGCAGAGUAUAUUCAAGUUGCCAACACACUGGUUGUGAAGAACCCUUUCCAGAGAAAUAUAAAAGGAAAUGACUGUCACACCUGACACAUCCCUAAACCGGAAAUUUAAAGCAGAACGUGCACCACUCGCAGGUUAUUGUAGCAUAUG